rnacentral:rRNA from 1 species
AGCGAACGCUGGCGGCAGGCCUAACACAUGCAAGUCGAACGAAGCCUUCGGGCUUAGUGGCGGACGGGUGAGUAACACGUGGGAACGUACCUUUUGGUUCGGAAUAACGCAGAGAAAUUUGCGCUAAUACCGAAUGAGCCCUUAGGGGGAAAGAUUUAUCGCCGAAAGAUCGGCCCGCGUUGGAUUAGGUAGUUGGUGGGGUAAAGGCGCACCAAGCCUACGAUCCAUAGCUGGUCUGAGAGGAUGAUCAGCCACACGGGGACUGAGACACGGCCCAGACUCCUACGGGGGGAAGCAGUGGGGAAUCUUGCGCAAUGGGCGAAAGCCUGACGCAGCCAUGCCGCGUGAAUGAUGAAGGUCUUAGGAUUGUAAAAUUCUUUUACUAGGGACGAUAAUGACGGUACCUGGAGAAAAAGCCCCGGCUAACUUCGUGCCAGCCGCCGCGGUAAAAC